GGGGGGAUGGCAGAGAGGUCGAUUGCGCCGGACUGUAAAUCCGGUGGCUUAGCCCGCGUUGGUUCGAAUCCAGCUCCCCCCA
rnacentral:tRNA from 1 species